rfam:Camelus ferus unplaced genomic scaffold scaffold1586, whole genome shotgun sequence.
GAGGGUAUAGCUGAAGUGGUAGAGUAUGUGCUUAGCACACACAGGUCCUGGGUUCAAUCCCUAGUACCUCCU